AGCAGUAGCCGCGGGAAUACGAAGGGUGCAAGCGUUAAUCGGAAUUACUGGGCGUAAAGCGUGCGUAGGUGGUGGUUUAAGUCCGUUGUGAAAGCCCUGGGCUCAACCUGGGAAUUGCAGUGGAUACUGGGUCACUAGAGUGUGGUAGAGGAUAGUGGAAUUUCCGGUGUAGCAGUGAAAUGCGUAGAGAUCGGAAGGAACAUCUGUGGCGAAGGCGACUAUCUGGGCCAACACUGACACUGAGGCACGAAAGCGUGGGGAGCAAACAGGAUUAGAUACCCGCGUAGUCCCUGUCUCUUAUAC
rnacentral:rRNA from 1 species